UACGAAGGGGGCGAGCGUUGUUCGGAUUUACUGGGCGUAAAGCGCGUGUAGGCGGCUCGGAAAGUCGGAUGUGAAAGCCCUGGGCUUAACCUAGGAAGUGCAUUCGAAACUCCCGAGCUUGAGUUCUGGAGAGGAAGGCGGAAUUCUCGGUGUAGAGGUGAAAUUCGUAGAUAUCGAGAGGAACACCGGUGGCGAAGGCGGCCUUCUGGACAGUGACUGACGCUGAGACGCGAAAGCGUGGGGAGCAAACAGGAU
rnacentral:rRNA from 1 species